UACGUAGGGGGCAAGCGUUGUCCGGAAUCAUUGGGCGUAAAGAGCGCGUAGGCGGCCCUGUAAGUCCGCUGUGAAAGUCAAGGGCUCAACCCUUGAAUGCCGGUGGAUACUGCAGGGCUAGAGUCCGGAAGAGGCGAGUGGAAUUCCUGGUGUAGCGGUGGAAUGCGCAGAUAUCAGGAAGAACACCCGUGGCGAAGGCGGUUCUCUGGGACGGUACUGACGCUGAGACGCGAAAAGCGUGGGGGAG
rnacentral:rRNA from 1 species